rnacentral:rRNA from 1 species
UACGGGGGGGGCAAGCGUUGUUCGGAAUUACUGGGCGUAAAGGGCUCGUAGGCGGCCAACUAAGUCGGAUGUGAAAUCCCCAGGCUUAACCUGGGAACUGCAUCCGAUACUGGAUGGCUUGAAUCCGGGAGAGGGAUGCAGAAUUCCAGGUGUAGCGGUGAAAUGCGUAGAUAUCUGGAGGAAUACCGGUGGCGAAGGCGGGUCUCUGGACAGUUCCUGACGCUGAUGCACGAAGGCCAGGGGAGCAAACGGG